GCACAACCUCACACCAGCAGCUAUGGCUAGGUGGUGUAUUGUUGCAACAACAUGGCUCUGAGUGGAAGCCAGCUGCAUUUUGCUCUUGCACACUCACAGAAGCGGGAAAAACCAUAUACACAGAUUGAAAAGGAGUGCCUGGAAAGCAUAUGGGCAUGUGAGAACUUUUACAGAUAUCACUGUGGACUGGAUUCGUUUAUACUGAUAACAGACAGUAAACCACUUAUAACCCUCAUCAAUGGAAAAGACCGCUGGUCUAUUACCAAGGUUAAUAUAAUUUAACCUAAUUGCUAAAUAUGUUUCUGGGGAAAAAUCUAGUAGUAGCAGACAUUCUCAUGGAGUCCAGCAUUGCACUCAACUACCUCUGAGCUUGAAGAUGACAUAAAGGCAUAGGUGGAUGCUGUGGACACAUACAGACCAUUGUCAGAAAAGAGACUACUACAGCUACAAAAAGCAACCUUGACAGACAUGCAAGUUCAGGAAGUUCUAAGUUACAUGAGGGGUGGCUGGUCCAAGUACCUAAAGGAUACUAAGGAAGU